UUGUGGGAAAUUACUUGUUCAUAGGUAUACUUGAGAUCGUAGCGGCACGAGUAGUUUAGUUAAGCAUAUAUGAUUACACCCUAGCGAUAAGGCUAGAUAUUUGCAAUUGAAAGCGCAACAAGAGGGGAGUACAAGUGCUGAUUCUACAAUUAACCCAAGUACUGGUUCAAAUCUAGUUCAACCAGGAAUAAACACAGUCACCGGAGGUAU
rnacentral:lncRNA from 1 species